AUGCAAGUCGAACGAUGAAGCCUUUCGGGGUGGAUUAGUGGCGAACGGGUGAGUAACACGUGGGCAAUCUGCCCUGCACUCUGGGACAAGCCCUGGAAACGGGGUCUAAUACCGGAUACGACACAUCACUGCAUGGUGAAUGUGUGGAAAGCUCCGGCGGUGCAGGAUGAGCCCGCGGCCUAUCAGCUUGUUGGUGGGGUAAUGGCCUACCAAGGCGACGACGGGUAGCCGGCCUGAGAGGGCGACCGGCCACACUGGGACUGAGACACGGCCCAGACUCCUACGGGAGGCAGCAGUGGGGAAUAUUGCACAAUGGGCGAAAGCCUGAUGCAGCGACGCCGCGUGAGGGAUGACGGCCUUCGGGUUGUAAACCUCUUUCAGCAGGGAAGAAGCGAAAGUGACGGUACCUGCAGAAGAAGCACCGGCUAACUACGUGCCAGCAGCCGCGGUAAUACGUAGGGUGCGAGCGUUGUCCGGAAUUAUUGGGCGUAAAGAGCUCGUAGGCGGCUUGUCACGUCGGAUGUGAAAGCCCGGGGCUUAACCCCGGGUCUGCAUUCGAUACGGGCAGGCUAGAGUUCGGUAGGGGAGAUCGGAAUUCCUGGUGUAGCGGUGAAAUGCGCAGAUAUCAGGAGGAACACCGGUGGCGAAGGCGGAUCUCUGGGCCGAUACUGACGCUGAGGAGCGAAAGCGUGGGGAGCGAACAGGAUUAGAUACCCUGGUAGUC
rnacentral:rRNA from 1 species